rnacentral:rRNA from 2 species
GAGGCAGCAGUGGGGAAUAUUGCACAAUGGGCGCAAGCCUGAUGCAGCAACGCCGCGUGAGGGACGAAGGCCUUCGGGUUGUAAACCUCUUUUAGCAGGGAAGAAGCGAAAGUGACGGUACCUGCAGAAAAAGCACCGGCUAACUACGUGCCAGCAGCCGCGGUAAUACGUAGGGUGCAAGCGUUGUCCGGAAUUAUUGGGCGUAAAGAGCUCGUAGGCGGUUUGUCGCGUCUGCUGUGAAAACCCGAGGCUCAACCUCGGGCUUGCAGUGGGUACGGGCAGACUAGAGUGCGGUAGGGGAGAUUGGAAUUCCUGGUGUAGCGGUGGAAUGCGCAGAUAUCAGGAGGAACACCGAUGGCGAAGGCAGAUCUYUGGGCCGUAACUGACGCUGAGGAGCGAAAGCAUGGGGAGCAAACAGGCUUAGAUACCCUGGUAGUCCAUGCCGUAAACGUUGGGAACUAGAUGUGGGGACCAUUCCACGGUCUCCGUGUCGUAGCUAACGCAUUAAGUUCCCCGCCUGGGGAGUACGGCCGCAAGGCUAAAACUCAAAGGAAUUGACGGGGGCCCGCACAAGCGGCGGAGCAUGCGGAUUAAUUCGAUGCAACGCGAAGAACCUUACCAAGGCUUGACAUAUACCGGAAACGGCCA